rnacentral:rRNA from 1 species
AGAUUGAACGCUGGCGGCAUGCUUUACACAUGCAAGUCGAACGGCAGCACGGGGGGCAACCCUGGUGGCGAGUGGCGAACGGGUGAGUAAUGCAUCGGAACGUAUCUUCAAGUGGGGGAUAACGCAUCGAAAGAUGCGCUAAUACCGCAUAAUCUCCGAGGAGAAAAGCAGGGGAUCGCAAGACCUUGCGCUUUUGGAGCGGCCGAUGUCUGAUUAGCUAGUUGGUGAGGUAAAGGCUUACCAAGGCUUCGAUCAGUAGCUGGUCUGAGAGGACGACCAGCCACACGUGGGACUGAGACGACGGCCCAGACUCCUACGGGAGGCAGCGAGUGGGGAAUUUGGACAAGUGGGGGAACCCUGACUCCAGUCAUGCCGCGUGAGUGAAGAGCCUUCGGUGUAAGCUCUUCGAGACCGGAACGAACGG